rnacentral:rRNA from 1 species
AUUGAACGCUGGCGGCAUGCUUUAUACAUGCAAGUCGUGCGGCAGCGCGGGGGCAACUCUGGCGGCGAGCGGCGAACGGGUGAGUAAUACAUAGGAACGUAUCCUGAAAUGGGGGAUAGCUCGGCGAAAGCCGGAUUAAUACCGCAUACGCUCCACGGAGGAAAGCAGGGGAUCGCAAGACCUUGCGUUUCUGGAGCGGCCUAUGUCUGAUUAGCUAGUGGCGGGGUAAUAGCCCACCAAGGCGACGAUCAGUAGCUGGUCUGAGAGGAUGAUCAGCCACACUGGGACUGAGACACGGCCCAGACUCCUACGGAGGCAGCAGUAGGGAAUUUUGGACAAUGGGGCAACCCUGAUCCAGCCAUGCCGCGUGAGUGAAGAAGGCCUCGGUGUAAG